rnacentral:rRNA from 1 species
GGCGAGCGAAGCGGGAAGAGCUCAAAUUUAUAAUCUGGCGCUUUCGGCGUCCGAGUUGUAAUCUCUAGAAGUGUUUUCCGCGUUGGACCGCACAUAAGUCUGUUGGAAUACAGCGGCACAGUGGUGAGACCCCCGUUCACGGUGCGGAUGCCCAAUGCUUUGUGAUACACUUUCGAAGAGUCGAGUUGUUUGGGAAUGCAGCUCAAAUUGGGUGGUAAAUUCCAUCUAAAGCUAAAUAUUGGCGAGAGACCGAUAGCGAACAAGUACCGUGAGGGAAAGAUGAAAAGCACUUUGGAAAGAGAGUUAACAGUACGUGAAAUUGUUGGAAGGGAAACGCUUGAAGUCAGACUUGCUAUUCGGGGCUUGCUCCGAGUUGCAGGCCAGCAUCAGUUUUUCGGGGCGGAAAAUCACGGAUUGAAGGUAGCAGUUUCGGCUGUGUUAUAGCUUUCCGUUGGAUACGUCCUGGGGGACUGAGGAACGCAGUGUGCUUUUAGCGAGGGCUUCGGCUCUUUCACACUUAGGAUGCUGGUGGAAUGGCUUUAAACGACCCGUCU